rnacentral:rRNA from 1 species
CGGCGAGUGANAGGAAGAGCUCAAAGUUGGAACCUGUUUGGCCUAGCUAAACCGGAUUGUAGACUGUAGAAGUGUUUUCCAGGCAAGCCGAGUAAAUAAGUCCUUUGGAACAGGGCAUCAUAGAGGGUGAGAAUCCCGUCUUUGGCUUGAGCAUUUGCCUUUUGUGAUACGCUUUCAAAGAGUCAGGUUGUUUGGGAAUGCAGCCUAAAUUGGGUGGUAAAUCUCACCUAAAGCUAAAUAUUGGCGAGAAACCGAUAGCGAACAAGUACCGUGAGGGAAAGAUGAAAAGAACUUUGAAAAGAGAGUUAAACAGUAUGUGAAAUUGUUAAAAGGGAACCGUUUGGAGCCAGACUGGCUUGUCUGUAAUCAAUCUAGGCUUCGGCCUGGAUGCACUUGCAGGCUAUGCCUGCCAACGACAAUUUGACUUGAGGGAAAAAACUAGGGGAAAUGUGGCCCACUUGUGGGUGUUAUAGUCCCUUAGAAAAUACCUUGGGUUGGAUUGAGGAACGCAGCGAAUGCUUAUUGGCGAGUUUUCCAGGAAGGUUUUCUGAGGUACUACGGUAUCAAGGUUGAUCUUUUUGGUUAUACUUCUAUUCGCUUAGGUUGUUGGCUUAAUGACUCUAAAUGACCCGUCUUGA